rnacentral:rRNA from 1 species
UAAUACGUAGGGUCCAAGCGUUAUUCGGAAUUACUGGGCGUAAAGCGUUCGUAGGCGGUUUGGUAAGUUGGAUGUGAAAUCCUGUGGCUCAACCACAUGGACUGUGUCCAAACUACCUGACUAGAGCAUAGUAGAGGCAAGUGGAAUUUGCGGUGUAGGAGUGACAUCCGUAGAUAUCGCAAGGAACACCAAUGGCGAAGGCAGCUUGCUGGGCUAUUGCUGACGCUCAGGAACGAAAGCGUGGGAGCGAACGGGAUUAGAUACCCCCGGUAGUCCACGCCGUAAACGAUGAUCACUAGCAGUAUGGAGAUUCGACCCUCUGUGUUGCACAGCUAACGCGUUAAGUGAUCCGCCUGGGGAGUACGGGCGCAAGCUUAAAACUCAAAGGAAUUGACGGGGACCCGCACAAGCAGUGGAGGAUGUGGUUUAAUUCGACGCUAAGCGAAGAACCUUACCGAGGUUUGACAUCCCAGGAAGUUUGGGAAACCAAUUCGUGCCUUCGGGAACCUGGUGAC